rnacentral:rRNA from 1 species
AUUGAACGCUGGCGGCAGGCCUAACACAUGCAAGUCGAGCGAGCGGCGGACGGGGGAGUAAUGUCUGGGAAACUGCCGGAGGGGGGGGGGGAACAACAGGAAAAGGUAGCUAAUACCGCAUACCAUCAGAUGUGUCCAGAUGGGAUUAGCUAGUAGGGGGGGGAACGGCUCACCUAGGCGACGAUCCCUAGCUGGUCUGAGAGGAUGACCAGCCACACUGGAACUGAGACACGGUCCAGACUCCUACGGGAGGCAGCAGUGGGGAAUAUUGCACAAUGGGCGCAAGCCUGAUGCAGCCAUGCCGCGUGUGUGAAGAAGGCCUUCGGGUUGUAAAGCACUUUCAGCGGGGAGGCGUUACCCGCAGAAGAAGCACCGGCUAACUCCGUGCCAGCAGCCGCGGUAAUUC